CCCUACCUUUAUCGAUUCGUGC
rnacentral:siRNA from 1 species